rnacentral:rRNA from 1 species
UACGGAGGGUGCAAGCGUUAUCCGGAAUCAUUGGGUUUAAAGGGUGCGCAGGCGGGAUUUUAAGUCAGUGGUGAAAUCCCUUCGCUUAACGAAGGAACUGCCAUUGAUACUGAAAUUCUUGAAUUUAGUUGGCGUGGGCGGAAUGUGCCAUGUAGCGGUGAAAUGCUUAGAUAUGGCACAGAACACCGAUCGCGAAGGCAGCUCACGAAACUAAUAUUGACGCUCAGGCACGAAAGCAUGGGGAGCAAACAGG